ACUUAGCAAAACAAUUUCUGAAAUAAAGAUCAGUUCAAACCAUCACAUGACUGCCAAUUGCAUCUUCAUAUUCCAUCGAGGUUACUGCUUCUCUUGCUCCAGAUGUAAUGAAGCAAAGAGAGAUGCAGUCAGAUACACUUUCUUCUGUAUGUGAAACAUAUUUCCGGAUCUUAAGCUAUACAAUGCAGUCGUUAAUAUCUAGGUAACAUUCAAGUUUCACUCAGAGAUCAUGGUGAAGUACUAGUGAAAGCUUUGAAGAUAAUGUUGUGCGUAGCAUGACAUGCAAAAGGCAGCUGCAUUUAUUAAGCAUUUGGCUACUUCCUCAUUAUGUUUUGGAUCCGCAGAGUCGUUGGCAGGUAUCAGAAGCUUCUGAAAUCCUUUUAGUUAUGAAAAAUGCUAUCAUGAUUCGUACUGUUGUUUGACCAAGAACAUGUUAUGUAUGGACUAUCUACAGUCCUGGUCCCCGUAAACAUCUACUUGAUAUGCAGAAAUAUCAGCAAUAUGCCUCUGAUCCAAAAUUGAGUGACUCCCUUGCUUCUGUCCUUUGGGAACUUAAUCUUCUGUGGGAAGCAUUAUCAUCCAGAUGUCUCAACUAUGGCUGCUAGCAUAUCAAGCAUGAAUAGUACUCAAAAUCAAGUAUAUACAUCUCCACUGUUUCUCCCCAACAGGCAUGCAGAGACUUGUCAAUGGAACAGGAGUCUUUUAUCCCACAAUUUAACGUCAGGAAAGUUAACAAGAUGAAACUAGCUACGGAAUCUUCCCGGCAACAUGACUUGUUGCAGACCCUCCAAAUUUUUUGAUAUUUGUCAUAGUUCUAAAUUUGGGUUCAAUUGGUAUUCGCAGCAACAUGACUUCAGUUAAAACGUAUACGCAAGAAGCAGUCUUUGGAACUUGAGCUUGAGCAGGUGAAGAAGAAUUUUCAGCAGAUAGAUAUCUAUUUGUAUUUGUAGUUCAUGCUUCAUCCAUUGGAUCAAAAUAGAAAUUGAUAGAUAUUAUUGAUUGAGACUGUGUAGAUGACAACCAACCGAAAUAAAAGUCGUC